ensembl:rRNA 5S_rRNA 5S ribosomal RNA
GCUCACGGCCAUACCAGCCAAAGGACACCCGAUCUCAUCUGAUCUUGGAAGUUAAGAAGGCUUGGGCCUGGUUAGUACUUGGAUGAGAGACUGCCUGGGAAUACGAGGUGCGGAAAGCU